GACGAACGCUGGCGGCGUGCUUAACACAUGCAAGUCGAACGGAGAACCUCUUCGGUGGCGAUCAGUGGCUAACGGGUGAGUAACACGUUGGCAACCUGCCCCCCGCUCUGUGAUAACUCCAAGAAUUUGGGGCUACUACCGUAUGUUCACCGCUUCCCUCAUGGCUGAUGGUUGAAUGGUUUUCCGGCUGGUGAUGGGCCCGCGGCCUAUCAUCUUGUUGGUGGGGUAGGGGCCUACCAAGGCGACGACGGGUAGCCGGCCUGAGAGGGUGACCGGCCACACUGGGACUGAGAGACGGCGCAGAAGCCUACGGGAGGCAGCAGGGGGGAAUAUUGCGCAAUGGGCGGAAGCGUGAGGCAGAGACGCCGCGUGGGGGAUGACGGCCUUCGGGUUGUAAACAUAUUUGAGAAGGGACGAAGAGGAAGUGACGGUACCUGCAGAAGAAGCACCGGCUAACUACGUG
rnacentral:rRNA from 1 species